AAUCACCACUUUCUGUUAGAUGGCAAGGAUUCCGUGAUCCCCAUUCAUCAAUGAAGUACUAUACUGUUAAAGUUGGUACCUGUGAUGAUUGUGAUGACAUAAUUCCAGAAAUCAAAACAGGAAUAACUUCACAUUUUACCUUUCCACCGUCCAAAUUUACUCCUGGAACAAAAUAUAUCACCACGGUAACAGGGUGCAAUAUGGCUGACAUGUGUACGUCGGUCACUUCUGACGGGGUAAUAAUUGACGUGACACCACCGGACAUGGGAAGAGUUGUAGAUGGAACGAAAGAUUUAGAUGUAGAAUUCCAAGCAACCAGAAACUUUGUUGGCGCCAAAUGGUAUGGGUUUAAAGAUGCACAAUCUGGUAUAGCGAGAUAUGAAUGGAGAGUAGGGACAACCAUUGGAGGGGAAGAGUUACUUAGCCCUCAAGUUUUACCAGUGGUGGAACUGGCCUAUAAAUCUAAUUUACCUGAUAAUAAACUAUUGCCUAUUGAUACUAGAAUUUAUAUUACUGUUAGAUGUUACAAUAAAGCAGGUUUAUACAGCGAAGCUACAUCAAAUGGUUUUAAAAUCGAUACAACAUUACCAGUAGUGGCGCAAAGGGCAGUUCCCGUUUCAUCGUUUAGUUCUAUUUUACCUUCAACUA